rnacentral:tRNA from 1 species
GGGUGCUAGAUAAUGCCGUGUGGGACGUCAUUCUUGGCUUUGCAAGCGGAGGGUCUGGGGUUCGAAUCCCCAAGCCUCCACCA